rnacentral:lncRNA from 1 species
CUCUUUUUUUCUCCCUUUCUUCCUUUCAUCUCUUUCUUUUUUUUCUCUCUCUCUCUCUCUCCUUUCUGCAUCAAUAAUAGUCACCCCAUGCGCAGGGUCUCUCAACUCGAUUUUCUCCUACAAAGUGCGUCGACAGACGUAAAAUUCGCAUGACCGAAUUAUACGUAUUUACAAUACGUUCAAUAGAAGUAACGCAAGUUAUUUUUCCAACGAUUCUCGGAAACACUUUGCGGGAAGUGAACUGGCAUAUAGUGCUCACGUGUUGACGCAUUAAUUACACGUAGCUUUCUUGAUUGUUUUGUGGAAAACAUCACGUAAUUUUCAUAAGCCAGAUAUCAAUACGAACAACGAGUAGUGAGAAAAUGCUUCGCAGCGAUGACGACACGCAAUCUCCGUCAAACACGAAAAGUAAGAACGGAACUAUAUGUAUAAAAGUCAGGAUUAGAAAAACAAAGGAGAGCAACUUCUGUAAGAUGAGUCUGCGUUGUCGCUUUAUAUGCGAUCUGAAUAAGAUGGUACGCGUCUCUACGAAUAUUAAAGACAUUAGAGGCGCAAGACGGAGACACAAAUCGAUUCGAAACUCGACGAGAGACGAAUUCUUAGAAAGCUGUACUGUAAAAUUGUAAAUGUGAACGAAAGAUUCGACAUUUAUAUGAUAUUUUUCUUGAUGUUCCUUUGAUUGUCGUAAAUGUAUUAAUUUCUGAACUCUCAUUUUAUCUGCUUCCAAUUAAGGAGGAUUUACCUUUUUAUUUAAAAAAAAGUAGAUUAAUUUCUAAACAUUUUACACAUAAAAAAAUAGGUCGAGCAGACUGUACGAUUAAUAAAAUACUAAUUGAGUUUUUAAUUGAUAUAAUAUUAACAUGUUUUUAAAUUUUUAAUCGAUUUGAAAUACACUGAGACAUAAAAAAGAAAAUAAAUAAUUGCAAGUUAUGUGAAGUUGUGGCAAAUAGCUUGAAAAAUAUAUUAAAUCGACUCUUAUCAUCUUUCUUAAUUUCAGACAUUUUCAAUCAAAGCUACAAAAGAGAUUGGCUCUUCCUGAUCGUAACUACGAUCCAAAAGAAGAUUAUUAAAACAACAGAAAAUCAUCAAAAGUGCAAAAUAAAAAUCGCGUAAAAAAAGCGAUCUUCAGUGCAUCGAACUAAUGACGAGAAAGACGCACGAAAUCUCAAAUGGGAAUCGAUAAUUGUGUUUCGUCUUAAUGAACUUUCCUUUCGGGUCCACUUAAAACAAUUAAAAUUAGCGCGCAAGGGAUGAAGGGGAGGGAGGGGCGCACAGAAUAAAUCGAAAUCUACACGACGAAAGGCUAAUACAAUUGUGAGACGCGACGGACACGGGACGGGGCUCGCUCAUCCGCGGCCGGGAACGAAAGGAAUGAAAAUUGGCGAACCUUUGAACUUUCUGUAUAUCCGUUCGCUCAGUUACACGCUCCUCGCACACUUUGUUUCGCCUUCCUCUUUCCCCGUUCGCGCGCGCGUACGCCUACUCCACCCCGACCGCGCGAGAUCGCACGUAUAUAUAUAUAUAUACAUAUAUAUAUGCGUACGUACAUACGGGUACGCCGAAACGCCAAGAUCGCCGCAUUUAUUUCGAACCGCAACCGCUAUCGAUCCCUCUGCAUUCUAUUUAUUGUUGGCGGCAGCCAACGAGAGAAAACGUACCCGCGGAAUCAGCGUGACGCAUCGCACGCUCGCCGGCCGACAGGUCGAUCGUUCGCUGUCCCACGAGCAACGGCCGCGGAGAGCGGAUUUUCUUUCGCGCGUGGAUUUCCCCGAAUAGCACGGAUUGAAAUUUCAGACGAUAAGGGGAACGAACGGACGGCCGGACGGACGGCGCGGCGCGGUGUUUUCUCCGACGCCAGGCGACCAGCGUUCCUCUCACGGUUAUAAAUUCAAUCCUUUAAGUGAUUCUUUAGAUUCAAUCGGUCGCCGGAAGUCCCUCGGGGACGAUAGACGCCUACGUGAUAGGUGGAAAGGAGAGAGAGUUGAGGAAUCGCGACACGCCGCCGGGACAAACGCGAGAUGAAGGAGCGAGUGAAGGAGGAGGAGGAGGAGGAGGAGGAGGAGGAGGAGGAGGAGGGGAAGGGAGAGAAACUCACCUCGUGCGAGCGCUGUCAACAACAAAGCCAACAGGACGCGGGCGAGAGGACGCGGCUCCAUUGGGUCGGAAGCAGAGAUCUGACAGACGCACAGACUCCGACGCGCGGGAGACGCCGCCGGUAGUAGGGGAGCCUACCGAGGUAGCCCUCCGUCCGAGAUCACCACCGUCUCCGAGGACGAGCACCACCGCCGUUACACACGCGCGCGAUGUCCCGCCGAUGAUGCGGCGGGCGCAUGCCACUCUCACGUCGCCCUCGAGCACCAAGGCCAGUCUCGCGUCUUCAAGACCGUCGUCGCGACCGUUUACACGACAGAUCGGCUCUCACGCCCGCGGGACGCAUUUUCGCAUGACAGGCUCACUGACCGUACUCGUCGACCGUAAAACAUGGCUAACGGACGGAGCAGCGUCCGGGAUACGCCAGUGAUGCCAGUCCCCCCAACGAACGAGAAUGGUCGCGCACGCGCGCUAAUCUUAGAAAUCUGGAGAGCGGUCAUGUCCGCGCAUUUUAGGUGUUUCCGUCCAUCAGCGCCUCCAUGUGCAUUUUGAACUACGUAGCCAAUGUCCACGAAGGUCUGUAGAUAAUGUGGUAAUUAUUUAACAUCACCUCAAAUAUCGAGAGAGAUGUAAUUAUACUCAUUCAACACUAAAUAAUUAUUGGAGUGGAUUCUUAUUCAUGACCGCCAUUUGUAAAGCAAUAGCUGCGCUUAGUAGAAUUAUUCGCAGUAUAAUUGUCUAUUAUUUUAUUUGAUUUUAUACAAUCUUGACUUUUUAAAGAAAUUUUAUAUAACGUUUAAAUAUAUAAUCAAAAUAGGGCUCAUAAAAAACUUAUAUAAAUCAGAUUUUUAUACUUUAAUAAUUGUUUGAAAAAAGAUAUAUUUGACACGCAUGUGCGAGAAAAAGCGACCCGUCUAAUGCUCGGUCUACAAUGUCAGUAGGAGUAAUGGAGUAAGGAGUAAGAGUAACAAUUAACCAAUUAAAAAACCGGGAGUAAACGAAAUGGGCAAAUCUCAUUUCAUAUUUCUUACUUCUUAUUCCUACUCCAUUACUCUUGCUGACAUUGUAGACCGAGCAUCACAACACUGAUCAUACACACUUUCCACAAGACGUAAAAAAACAAUAAGGUUUCAACGCAUUGGAUUGGGUAUCAUAAUCGUAAUCGACUGAAUACAGUACGUGAUUGGUUGAAAUCUUAUUGUUGUUUUACGGAAAGUAUGUGAUGGCCUAAUACAACCUGCUGUCUGGUUACAAGACUUACAACAGUUUACGCUACUAGAAGCGCAAUGCUAAGUUACGUUUUCUACCGAAUGCAACCAGAGUCACAGUACAAAUUAUAGAGCAUCAGUUGUCAUUGCACGUGUUUGUUGCUCCGAUUUGUGAUUAUUAAGUCAAACUGAAAAAGCAUUGAAAAGAAUUGAAGUCUCUUUUAUUGCGUGCAUCGUAUUAUUACGUAUUUUGUCAGUAGGAAACAGAAAAUAUCCAAGUUGAAAGCAAUAAAACAGAAAAUUAUAUGAUGGAAGAAAGCUCAAAGAAAGUAGAACACACAGAGACAGAUAAAUUGAAAUUUAAAUAUUUGCAAAGAAAUUUGAAUUUAGUUAAAUUGCCUUCGUCGAAUUGGGGAUUUUCAAAGGGAAACGAUACAUUUUUCGGUUUUAUGAAAGUAGAGAGUAAUUUCAGUGUCAGAAAAAGAAUCGCUGUGUUUCCAAACUUACGUAUUAAUAUUUAUAUUGAUGAUAGAAUUAUGCCCUUUUCAAAACAUAUUAAGGUAACAAGUAUUGAUGAAAUUAGCGAAAUUUUAAAAACUCUGGAUUCAAUUUCAUUCACAUUCUAUUAAAUGUACUUAUAUAUAUUUACAAUUAAUUCCAAAUAUUUAAUUUAUUUUUUUACAAUAAAUUAUAUAAAUAGAAAAAAAAAUAAAGUUAGAAGUUUAUGGUUUA